rnacentral:lncRNA from 1 species
AAGGGACUCGAAUGGAAUGGAAUGAACUUGACUGCAAUAGAAUGGAAAGGACUCUAAUGCAAUGGAAUGGACUUGAAUGGAAUGGAAUGGACUUGAAUGGAAUGGAAUGGAGCCGAAUGGAAUGGAAUGGAAUGGAAUGGAAUGGAAUGGAAUGGAAUGGAAUGGAAAGGAAUGGAAUGGAAAGGAAGGGAAUGGAAUGGAAUUGACUCGAAUAAAAUGGAAUGGAAUGGACUCGAAUGGAAUGGAAUGGACAAGAAUGGAAAGGAAUGCAAUGGACUCGAAUGGAAUGGAAUGGAAUGGAAUGGA